UAUUCCUUUUCCUUCCACGUCUUCUCUCGCAGCACUUGUUACUUUCACCAGAACCAUAACCCGUCCCUGUCGUCAUUGCCCAGCCAGAAUAUUAUGAGUUGUGAGGAUUAUAGUCAAUUCAGCAGCUCUUUCAUGCAGUUUAUGAUUUGUUGGAUCGAGAAGCAUGUUUUAUCUGUCCAGGGUUCUGUCCGUGGUCUUAUUAUGUGGGUUGGGUGCUUUGUUGUGGUUUAUGAGACGACGUUUCGGCAACAAAGGUGAUAGAGGGAAGAAAGAAGUAGAUAUGAGUAUUGAUUC
rnacentral:lncRNA from 1 species